rnacentral:tRNA from 1 species
GAUUUCGUGGCGCAAUGGUAGCGCGCCUGACUCCAGAUCAGGAGGUUGCGUGUUC